AACGGGUGAGUAAUACAUCGGAACGUGUCCAGCAGCGGGGGAUAACCUCUCGAAAGAGAGGCUAAUACCGCAUACGCCCUGAGGGGGAAAGCGGGGGUCGCAAGACCUCGCACUGUUGGAGCGGCCGAUGUCGGAUUAGCUAGUUGGCGGGGUAACGGCCCACCAAGGCGACGAUCCGUAGCUGGUCUGAGAGGACGACCAGCCACACUGGAACUGAGACACGGUCCAGACUCCUACGGGAGGCAGCAGUGGGGAAUUUUGGACAAUGGGGGCAACCCUGAUCCAGCCAUGCCGCGUGGGUGAAGAGGGCCUUCGGGUUGUAAAGCCCUUUCGGCGGAGACGAAACGGUCCGUGCCAACACCACGGACAACUGACGGUACCCGCAGAAGAAGCACCGGCUAACUACGUGCCAGCAGCCGCGGUAAUACGUAGGGUGCAGGCGUUAAUCGGAAUUACUGGGCGUAAAGCGUGCGCAGGCGGCUCUUUAAGUCAGAUGUGAAAUCCCCGGGCUUAACCUGGGAACUGCGUUUGAAACUGGAGGGCUUGAGUGUGGCAGAGGGGGGGUGGAAUUCCAGGUGUAGCAGUGAAAUGCGUAGAUAUCUGGAGGAACACCGAUGGCGAAAGCAGCCCCCUGGGCUAACACUGACGCUCAUGCACGAAAGCGUGGGGAGCAAACAGGAUUAGAUACCCUGGUAGUCCACGCCCUAAACUAUGUCAACUGGUUGUCGGGGAAGCAUUCCUUGUACGAGCUAACGCGUGAAGUGACCGCUGGGAGUACGCGCAGUAAACUCAAGAUUGACGGGACCCGCACAGCGUG
rnacentral:rRNA from 1 species